rnacentral:rRNA from 1 species
UACGAAGGCCCCAAGCGUUAUCCGGAUUUAUUGGGCGUAAAGCGUUCAACGGCGGCUUGAUAAGUCAUUGGUCAAGUCUGCGGGCUCAACCCGUAGACUGCUAAUGAAACUGUCUGGCUUGAGACCGGAAGAGGCAAACGGAACUACCGGUGUAGCGGUAAAAUGCGUUCAUAUCGGUAGGAACACCAAAGGCGAAAGCAGUUUGCUGGUACGGUUCUGACGCUCAACGAACGAAAGCGUGGGGAGCGAAUGGG